rnacentral:piRNA from 1 species
GUAAGUGGCUGAUUUUUAUUUAUGGAAUG